UAGGCUUCCAAAACAACUAUCCAGCAGCGGGCAAUUUUGAUGUCAAUGGCAAUGCUGAUGUUGAUGCUACAUGGGUAAACACCACAUCCCAAGACACGCACACCUGAGAAUUAUUCAUCUUCGGUAAUAUAGUUAGUGUCCGCGAUGGAGUGGACCGAUGACAUCUCAAAGCGAGGUGGGCGGUGAUGUGUGGCGUUUGGUAGUACUAGUUAAUUAGUCGAUCAAGGAGGCUUGAUGAUGGUUCAUUUUCAAGCUUUUAAAACAAAAAAAGAUAUCUUGUUGUAUAUUGCAUUUUCAUUGUUUCAUU
rnacentral:sRNA from 1 species